GACGAACGCUGGCGGCGUGCUUAACACAUGCAAGUCGAGCGGAGCGGAGAAAGGGUGAGUAACGCGUGAGUAACUGCCCCCCGCUCUGGGAUAACAGUUGGAAACGGCUGCUAAUACCGGAAAGUGGGGGAUGACUCGCGUCCUAUAAGAUUGUUGGGUGGGUAGGGGCCUACAAAGGCGACGAGGGGUAGCCGGACUGGAAUGGCGACCGGCCACAUUGGGCUGAGAUACGGCCCAAACUCCGACGGGAGGCAGCAGUGGGGAAUAGUUCACCAUGGCGAAAUCCCUGAUGCAGCAACGCCGCGUGCGGGAUGACGGGCUUCGGGUUGUAAACUGCUUUCAGCCAUUACGCGGUAGUGGCAGAAGAAGCACCGGCUAACUACGUGCCAGCAGCCGCGGUAAUAC
rnacentral:rRNA from 1 species